CUUGAUCUACUCAUUACGACGAUCGUGACACUCUCUGCCCUAACAAUUGGAGUUGCUGUCUACAAAGUGGCGUGGCGGGAUGUCUAGUUCCCGCCUACCCUUUCUUUGGAUUGGCUCACUCCUCUCCCCGGUCUCAUCGACGACCAUCCGGCAUACCCAGUGAGGCGCCUCCUGAGUGUUUGACCUCGGGGCAGGGGAUUCCAGUACCUGGUUGACUGGGAGGGUUAUGGCCCGGAGGAGAGGUGCUGGGUCCCCGCUAGGAAACAUAAUGGACUUAGCCCUCAUUGCUGAGUGCUGCUGCCAGCAGGUGCUGUUUUCUCGUCCUCCCGGUUUUGACCAUUCUGCCUGCCCUGACCCUGAGCCUGCCUGCUGUUCUGUACCUUUCUGACACUGCCCUGGAUUACUGACCUCUGCCUGCCCUGACCCUGAGCCUGCCUCUCGUUCUGUACCUUUCUGACACUGCACUGGAUUACUGACCUCUCCCUGCCCUGACCCUGAGCCUGCCUCUCGUUCUGUACCUUACUGACACUGCCCUGGAUUACUGACCUCUCCCUGCCCUGACCCUGAGCCUGCCUCUCGUUCUGUACCUUACUGACACUGCCCUGGAUUACUGACCUCUCCCUGCCCUGAGCCUGCCUCUCGUUCUGUACCUUACUGACACUGCCCAGGAUUACUGACCUCUGCCUGCCCUUGACCUGUAGUGUGCCUGCCCCCUGUUUUGUAAAUAAAUAUCUGUG
ensembl:lncRNA